rnacentral:rRNA from 1 species
UAGGGAAUUUUGGACAAUGGGCGAAAGCCUGAUCCAGCAACGCCGCGUGCGCGAUGAAGGCCUUCGGGUUGUAAAGCGCUUUUAGAGGAGAUGAGAAAGGACAGUAUCCUCUGAAUAAGCCUCGGCGAACUACGUGCCAGCAGCCGCGGUAAAACGUAGGAGGCUAGCGUUAUCCGGAUUUAUUGGGCGUAAAGCGUGUGCAGGCGGUUAUGCAAGUUGGAUGUGAAAGCUCCUGGCUUAACUGGGAGAGGUCGUUCAAAACUGCAUGACUAGAGAAUGGGAGAGGGAGGUGGAAUUCCGGGUGUAGUGGUGAAAUGCGUAGAUAUCCGGAGGAACACCAGUGGCGAAAGCGGCCUCCUGGACCAUUUCUGACGCUCAGACACGAAAGCUAGGGUAGCAAACGG